UUUAUGAUGAUGGAUAAAAAAAAUUGGAGGAAAAUUUAACAAAAUUAUUUUUAGACGCCGUAUUGUUUUACUUUCAUUCGAUGACCCAUAGUCGCACCGAAGCGUGCCGCGAGUGACCAGAUGCGACGGAAUCCGAGUGGGAGAUCGAUGCACGGAAUUUUAUUUCUCUGCGGUUUUUCAUUCGUGUUUUCGAUCGCGCUACGCGGCGUCGGUUGAGAUAAAUUGCAGAUUUUUUGCUCGGACUAGGGAGAGUGCAGCCACGGCAGGCCGGAUUUACAUUUGUGAGAAUAAGUACGGUGAAGUUUACGGAAGACGCCAGCGUCCCGACGCAUUUGGUGUACGGUGUAGCUGGACGGGCUGCACGUCAGGGAGAAAGAGGAAGAUGGGACGCGUCAGCGGAAAGGGAUGAUGAUUCCGGAGAACAUCCGUCUCGAUUUUGUACUCCCGUCGAAAAUUCUAAAAAAGAAGAGAAGAAAAAAAAAAAAAAGAAAAAUUGUUUCGUACGUAGUCGCCGCAUCUGCAUCGGCGAGUCGAAACGAGAAAGAAAAAAGGAAACUCGAUCGCGCACUUUUUCGACAGCUUUAUAAAAAAAGUGUGGGGAAUUGGAAACUUCCGCAAAACUCAUCAGACGGCAAGAACUAUUCUAUCGGUUUUUGCAAACGGACGAACUGCAAGAAGUCAUAAGUUUCGAUGACUCGGGCAAAUUUUUCGUCAAAAUGAUUUCAGCGCACACCCGGGUGUCAAAAAUUAAUGGCAAAAUAGGAGAGACGAACAAUAAACAGAUAAGAAUAAUUGAAGUACGUUCGCGAUCCGUGUCGAUGAAAUCUCGUUUAACGAUCCUGCAGGUUCACCAGUUAUAAUCGGCGCAAAAAUCAUUUACAUACCUCGGGGCGUUCGGUGUGUAGAAUAUAAUCGCGAUACUGCGAACAAUUAUACAUAGGAAAAUCUUUCCGAGUAUAUAUUCGCUUACGCGUAUUUAUAACGAGCGUUACGUACGUAGACACGCGCGAUUCUAAAGUGCACUAGGUCUUUCCCACGCGUUACUAAUUAAUAUAUCGAUGUAAACGACACACCUAUAGAACCGAUAAGCUAACCCGGGGACUGCGGCCAACGUUAUUAACCCGUACAACUUUAUAUCCAGAAGAACCGCGGGUAUAUACGCGAGUGUACGUACGAUAUUCCACCUGCGGAAUGGGCAUCGUUACCAAAGUUACGCAAUUUAUUAUUAUUUCCAUUAUGUAGCGGACGUAGAAUUGAAAAUUAUAUUGCAAAGUGAGCGUAUGUACGUACAAUGUAUACCCGGUGAUGUUGUUGUGCGUGAAGCGGAGAUUUGUUAUUGUUGUUUUGAUAAGCUGUACACGAUGUUGCAGAUUCAUCUCUCGCUUCAUUUCACGUUUGAUCUUCGUGGCGAGGGUGAGAGCGAAAGGAAGAAAUGGAAAGGUCUAUUUGAAAUCAGAGUUUUGCCGUUUCCCGGUGGACGUGUACGCGCAUUCUUUAUCUGCUGCCUGUCCGGUACACGUAGACGUACGCCUGUAUUGCGUAUAAUAAGAUACCUUACGUAUACAUACAUUCGAAUGUCCAUUGACCGCACCCUUAUUAGGAUACCGCAGCGCCGAUACAUACGACGACGUUGCUUAUUACUAACGGAUUCCCCCUAAGGCCCGGACUACAACAACGCGUGGGCGUGGAAACGACGCUACAAGAACAAAAAGAAAACGAAAAAAACGAGGAAGGAAAGAUUAAAAAAUGAAGGAAAAAAUUGUAAAAUUCAACAGCUUCACAGCUAUUGAUGCGGAACAGAUUUCGAAUAAAGAUCCGUUGAAUGAGGCGUAUACGUGUAUUUGUAUCCUAGACGUAAU